rnacentral:rRNA from 1 species
UACGUAGGGCGCAAGCGUUGUCCGGAAUUAUUGGGCGUAAAGAGCUCGUAGGCGGUUUGUCGCGUCGAAUGUGAAAACCCGGGGCUCAACCCCGGGCCUGCAUUCGAUACGGGCAGACUAGAGUUCGGUAGGGGAGUCUGGAAUUCCUGGUGUAGCGGUGAAAAUGCGCAGGAUAUCAGGAGGAACACCGAUGGCGAAAGGCAGGUCUCUGGGCUGUAACUGACGCUGAGGUGCGAAAGCGUGGGGAGCAAAACAGG